rnacentral:lncRNA from 1 species
UUUUUUUUUUUUUUAAACUUUAGGUCAGUUUUAUAACACUAGGAAAAUGUUUCUUGGAAAGGCUGAGAACUGUUGGUUCUUGAAAUGUGCUAAUGAAAACAGUGCGGGGAUUUGGUUUCUAGUUUUGUACUGUAUAAUACAGAUUUUCAUGUAGUAUAAUUCGCUUGUCAGUAUCCAUUGACAUCUAGGUGGAAAUUUAUGAAUUUUAAUUAUUCUUACAUGCAGCCAAAGUUCUGUAUUUUAUUUCAGUGGUUAAGGAACAAUGUAGAAGCAGAAGCUUGGCUAGAGACCAUAUUUCAGUGGCCGUUGGCUUUCCGUCUUUACAACAGCUAGUGUCUAGUCGGGACUAUUCAUUUUAGAAAGUGCAUUCUACCAUGCCCCAUAUUAUGGUCAGACUAGGUUUUUGAUUCCUAUAACUUUCCACUUAACCUUUAUCCACAGAGUACUUAGCUAAGACUUUUCUCUUGAGUACUCUCUUAAGAAUUUAAAGUAAACGAGUAUGUUUUUAAAAGGCAGAUCUUCAAAAAAAAAUCAAUUCUAAUAAAGACUUUUGGCAUAGAUUAUUUUUAACUCUGGUACCUUAAAUUAGGAUUUCUUCACAAAAUAAGAUUUUUUUUUCCUUAGUACCCAAAUGAUAGGUGGUUCCUUGUAGUCAGUAAAAAUACCAAAAAAGAUACCAGGAAUGGAUUUUUUAAAUAAUCCAAACUAAGUUCAUACCUCUAAAUUAAGACCUUUAACAGAAAAACCCUUCAUAGCUAUAGCAUGGUUUAGGUUCCUUGUUUUGUUUUGUGUUUGAGACAGAGCCUCACUAUGUGUCCUACUGGCUUCAUACUCACUGUGUAGCCCAGGCUGGCCUCAAACUCAUAGACAUCUGCCUGCCUCUGCCACCCAAGUGCUGAGGUUAAAGGUGCACACCACCAUGCACUGUCAAGCAUGAGCUUGUAGGUUUAGACAGUUUACUAUUUAUGUCCUCCGUGCUUGAAUUUUAGCCAGAGUUAUUUUUACAUUUAAGUGCUAUCUUACGUCUACUUACCUAAUACCAUAAUCGGUACCAAGACAUUUUAGAUUAGUUAGCAAAUAAAUCCAUAUAUUGUCAGUUAGAUAUAGACUGCCAAUAACUUUAAUAUUUUUCUCAUUGUUUUGAAUCACAGUCUCAGUAUGUAGCUCAGGCUGUCCUUGAAUUCAUAAAGAACUACCUGCCCCAGCCUCCUGAGUGCCAGUAUCAAAAGUGUGUGCCACUCCACUAUACAUGGCUAACUUUGAUGUUCCUAUGAUAAUGUUUACUGUUCUGUUUUCUGCAUUCUGGAUUUGAUUGGCACUUGGAAACAAGAGAGAGGGAGGUGACCAUGAAUGGAUGGUGAAAUGAAAUGUUUUAAAUUAUGCUUUCCUUGGCUAAGGCAAAUUAUAGUCCUCAAAAACAUAAAGACAAGGAGGCUUUGACUUUGCACAGGACUUUCUCAAACAGCCAAUAAACUGACCAAGCCUUAAAGUAAACUCUUAAGAUUAAAUUCUUAAGAUCCUCUCAAGUCACUGUGUCAAUUUCUGUAGGAAAUAAUCUAUUUCCAUAAUAAGCAGGAGUUUUUUAAAGGGAAAGAAAACAACCCAUCCAGUUCCCAGCAUUCUCUAGAAGGUGCUCAAGAGUCUCCUGACUGUGGACGAGCCCUGCAGUGUCUGCAGCCCCAGUGCUUAAUGUGGACCCUUCCAUUUGCACGCCACCUUGUCCGUUGUCACCAGACCCGCCCUUGCUCUGGUUAUCCCUUCUCCCCAUCUAAGGCUAUGCUUUAUUUUCUUAGAUGUCAAAGGUUCUGUGUCCCAUGUGCCGGGUUUAAGUCCCCCUUCUGUUUUUAACUAGCUGUCUGUAGAAUAAAGUCUGGACAUCAUUAUAUGUGCUGGUUCAGUAUAAGACACAGUGAAUAUAAAGCUAUGUGUUCUUUUAAACAAAAUAGAUUAAUUGUAUUGUUUCAAUUUGGACUUCAGUUGACCUUUCUGAGAUUAAUGGCUCUUACUAAGUUCUCCUUGCCCAGUUAUAAAUUCUGAACUAUUCACUGAGAAAAAUCCAAGUGUGAAUGAUCUGUCUAGCUAUGUAGGGAGUCUAGGUACUCUAGAACCUUUGAAUAAUGAAAGGCUCUGUAUCAAAAUUAUACGAACCACCGGGCGGUGGUGGCGCAUGCCUCCCAAGUGCUGGGAUUAAAGGCGUGCACUACUGCUGCCCGGCUUCAAUUUGUUUUUUGUCUCCAUAGAUUUACCCAUUUGGGAUAUUUUAUAUAAAUGGAAUUCUGUAAUGUGUGAUCUGACUUCAUUCACCUAACCUGUUUUCAUCCAUAGAACAUGCACCAAUCCGUCCAUCCUUCUUGUGGAUGAACAGUAUUCCAUUGUGUGCUGUGUGUCCCAUUGUGCGUUGUAUACUAUGAUUUACUUAGGCAUUCAUCUGUGACGGACUUUUGGGUACUGUUCCAAUGGUUUAUAUGCAGAUGCUUGUUUGAAUAAUUGGUACACUACUCAGUCACAUGAUAACUCUGUUUAGAGAAACUAGCACACUAUUUUCACAGAUGAACAUCUUACUUCUUUACCAGCAGGGUAAAGAGUUCUAAUUCCUCCACAUCAAGUUAGCACUUGGCUUUUGCUUUCAGUAGUCUUCCUGAUACAUGUGAAACGGUACCUUAACCUGUUUAUUCCACUGUAGUGAGUCAAAAUUCAGUAAGUUACUACCUGUGUGCUAUGUCCUUCAUAGCCUUGGGGCCUUGGACCCAAUGAGGAUGUUGAAGAAAUGAAGAAAGAACGGACAGAUGGAAACAUGGACGGGAUCUGGGAUCAGGUGGUCUGGGCUCUUGGCUGGAACAGUUUUAGCACACUUGAAGCUCAGCAUGUUUAUUGUAUAGAGGUGGACAGAGAGAAAAGUGGGGUUAUUGCAUGCCCCUGCACAAUGAGGUGGGGUUACACCCUACAGAUAACAAGAAGGCAGGACCAAGCAGACAGUUUGGCUAAUCUUGGUAACGCCAUCUCUAAAGUAGAAGAGACUUCAGGUCACAGACAUCCAGGGAGAGAAAGCACUGGUGGGCAUUUUCUGUACACGCUAUCAACACCUGGUCUUAGACCAGAAGGGAAAGCUUUGUCAUUUUCCUGUGAGCCUCAUCCUGAGGGGUGGGGAGUCUUUGCUGUUCUUGAGGCUGUGGGGUCCUUGGCAUGGGCAGCUCAUGUCAGCCACACAUUCAGUCAGGACUUCACGCACUCGGGGCUUCCUUCACUCCCUGAAUCUGUGCUCUUGUGAAAUGCAACCAUAGUC